UACCCAGUGACUUGACACACAUAGGCGCACGCAUGCCAACUUUUAGUUUUAGAGCUGAACACCCCCCCCUCUCCUCAGUGCACGGCGGCACGUUAAACCCCUCCUUUUGGCAUUCCUCACUGAUCCCUCACCACGGACGCACUCUUCCAGCUGUCACACUCUGGACCAAGCCAUCUCUUCUGCGUCCAUAGAACAGCAACAGGACAGGACACAGAACCGGGACAUCCCACAGCACCAGCACAGACAUGUCAGACUCAGAGACCGCCGCUGCCCCCGGCGAGGCCCCCGUUCCCGCCGCUUGCACCAGCAUCAAGGCAGACCUGGACAAAUGCGUGGCAGAGAAGGGAGCUGAGGGCUGCAAAGAUCUAAUGGAGGCCUUUGCUGCAUGCGUGAAGAAAGCAGCGGAAGGAACGUCAUGAGGAGUCGCCCUCCAGCCGUAAAUGUCCACUUCCAGUCCUACAUGUUCCCAGCAUUCCCUUCUGCACAGCAGCACUGGAUUCAACAACAACGGCGAUGAUGAAGAUGAUGAUGAUGAAAUGCAGGACAAAUGCUGCCUCGACUGGUCUGAGUUUGGGAUGUGGCUGCAGUAACCAGUGUUCCCUCCCCUGUUCGACCCCCCGUUUAGGCCUUUUUUCCCGCCAUUCCCCUCCUCUCUCUGCAGGCUGCUCGGAGUUCCGGAGAACCGACGGGCUGUGAUCUAACAUGUUGAGAUGUAAACAUAUAAAUGGAAAUAAAAGUACAAACAGUUGCUACAAAAA